rnacentral:rRNA from 1 species
GACGAACGCUGGCGGCGUGCUUAACACAUGCAAGUCGAACGCUGAAGACCUGGCUUUUGUUGGGUUGGAUGAGUGGCGAAAGGGUGAGUAACACGUGAGUAACCUGCCCUCCUCUUUGGGAUAACGCCCGGAAACGGGUGCUAAUACUGGAUAUUCACUGGCCUUCGCAUGGGGGUUGGUGGAAAGGUUUGUUCUGGUGGGGGAUGGGCUCGCGGCCUAUCAGCUUGUUGGUGGGGUGAUGGCCUACCAAGGCUUUGACGGGUAGCCGGCCUGAGAGGGUGACCGGUCACAUUGGGACUGAGAUACGGCCCAGACUCCUACGGGAGGCAGCAGUGGGGAAUAUUGCACAAUGGGCGAAAGCCUGAUGCAGCGACGCCGCGUGAGGGAUGGAGGCCUUCGGGUUGUAAACCUCUUUCGCUCAUGGUCAAGCCGCAACUGUGGGUUGUGGUGAGGGUAGUGGGAAAAGAAGCGCCGGCUAACUACGUG